GACGAACCGUGCGAACGUUAUUCGGAAUCACUGGGCUUAAAGCGCGUGUAGGCGGGAGGGCACGUCCGUCGCUGAAAUCCCCCGGCUCAACCGGGGAACGGGCGCGGAUACGACCUUCCUGGAGGGGCGUAGGGGGACCUGGAACUUCCGGUGGAGCGGUGAAAUGCGUUGAGAUCGGAAGGAACGCCCGUGGCGAAAGCGAGGUCCUGGACGUCUACUGACGCUGAGGCACGAAAGCUAGGGGAGCAAACAGG
rnacentral:rRNA from 1 species